rnacentral:rRNA from 1 species
GAUGAACGCUGGCGGCGUACCUAAUACAUGCAAGUCGAGCGAACAGACGAGGAGCUUGCUCCUCUGACGUUAGCGGCGGACGGGUGAGUAACACGUGGAUAACCUACCUAUAAGACUGGGAUAACUUCGGGAAACCGGAGCUAAUACCGGAUAAUAUAUUGAACCGCAUGGUUCAAUAGUGAAAGACGGUUUUGCUGUCACUUAUAGAUGGAUCCGCGCCGCAUUAGCUAGUUGGUAAGGUAACGGCUUACCAAGGCAACGAUGCGUAGCCGACCUGAGAGGGUGAUCGGCCACACUGGAACUGAGACACGGUCCAGACUCCUGCGGGAGGCAGCAGUAGGGAAUCUUCCGCAAUGGGCGAAAGCUUGACGGAGCAACGCCGCGUGAGUGAUGAAGGUCUUCGGAUCGUAAAACUCUGUUAUUAGGGAAGAACAAAUGUGUAAGUAACUAUGCACGUCUUGACGGUACCUAAUCAGAAAGCCACGGCUAACUACGUG